AACUAAAACACCUCAAUUAUGAAAUUCUAAAAUAAUUUAGCUGAAUAAAUGCAAUCUUAUUCCAUUGACUAACUCAAGUCAUAAGGUCUCACAAGUCUAAAUAUGCAGCGGAAUAAUCAUUUACCAACAUGCAGAAACCUAGUUCUUAAAAUAACAAAAGUCCACCAAUCAUAAUAAAUGUCCAUAAUAACAAAUCAACUUAAAUAAUCCUAAUCUAAGAUAACUUGUGCCACAAUCCUUCCAGUCGCUCUCCCAUUUUGAAUCCCCAAUAGACUAGUUCUCGAAAUCUGUAAACCAACAAGAGAUGGUAUAAUGAGCUAGACAGCCCAGUAAGUAAUGAACACUCUAGCUAGAUAAAUCAAGCAAUAAUAAGUGGAAAAUAAAUAAAUAUGCAGUUCCAAAGUAUAAGUCAAAUAUUUCUUAAAUUCAUAAGAUUCUUUUCGCAGUUUCAAGAUUCUUUCACAUAUUCAAUUCAUCUUGUCGAUCCUGGACUAUGACCACAUGUUUCCUGUGGCAAGGUCAUCAA
rnacentral:lncRNA from 1 species